UAUUUUUUUCCCAUUUUGCCCUCUGACUCUGGUCGUGACGCCGGUUCCACCGCCGACCCUUUCUGGCGACCCAUCAAGAUCUCGAGCUGCUGCUGCAAGCACCACGCCGCCUACGACCUGCCUCUGCCGUCUACAUCACUAGACUACCUCUUCCAAUCCAGGGGUCACUGCCUAAUGCUACCCGCAGUUGAUUUUCCUUUAGCAAUUGGGCAAAAGAAAAAAAAUUCUCUGCGCUUGGGUGCACAUGCAUCACACUGUCCGUGCACACCAGGUGCUCGACGAAAUUAUCCAGUGGGGUUGGCGGUGGCGAGCUUAAGACUUGGGAGGUGGAGAAGACAACCAGUGUUGAGGCCUCGUCUCGAGGGCAUGGAACUGGAGCGACUGCGGUGUGCACUAUGCAACUGAGGCUAAACUGAACUAAUAGCCUGUGGCGAGGACAAGUAUGCUCCACUCUGGGCAAGGACGGUGGAGGCGUGCUGCGGCUGUGGGGCUCAGCACGUAGGUGGCAACGCAUCAAGCCAUCAACGAUGGCCAAGCUGCCAUCAGAACCUUUUUUCCCCUCAAUAAUUAGUGACUGAGCGAGCUGUGUUUCCUCAGUUGUGUCUUCAGUUUUCAAAUCAAGAUUAAAAUAUAUCCAGCAUCCGAAAUAAAAGCUAGAGGCAUGGAAUUCUUUACAUUAUUACAUCAUGAUACGAAUGCCAUGGAUCUUGGGCUCUGGCCGGGCAUAUGUAAGGUUCCUGUGCCAAGAUUGACAACUUGCUCCAAUGCUGGUACCAACGUGGCUUUGGUACUCAAGCUAUGGAAGGUACGUUAUGAAAUUUUCUUCCUCACCUUCUGCUUACACAUCCAUAUGAAUGAGAUAAGCCAUCUUUCAACUGCAAUUAGUUUAGUAAUUAAAGAUUGAUUGAUGUGAUUGGGGAAAGUUACGAAAGUCACCAUUUCUGCAAGCAAUCGUGACUAUGGCCUCAUGUGUACAUGUUAAUUUAGCACCGGUUAUAUAUGUUUCCAUACUCUCAGUUAUUUUGCAUCUUUAUUAAGAUCAUCUAAUGUUUAUAUGUACCCUCCCAUGUAUCAGGUGAUGUGGGAACUAAUCCAAAUAGUGACUUUUUAAAACAUCGAUGUUCCUUAUCAACCAAAGUCAAAUGGAAAAACAUAUAUAUCUGUUUAUGUGUUACUGGAAUGCAAAUCUGCUAAUGAAGCUAUAAAAUCAUUAUAUUUAAAUUGAACUUUAGCUGUGAGGUAGGGCCGAACAUUUGUUCGAAUAGUCUAUCGUUACAUUGAAAUCAAGCAUGGCUUUAGGACCACUUUUAGUUUAUGGUUACCAUGAGAAUGUUGGCUGGAUUAUAUGGCCAGGCAAGAAGCAGCAGGCCCCGUAUCAUGAGAAUUUUUGCUUUAUGGUAUGUAGUUUUUUUACAUGCAGUUGUCAAUGUGAAGUCUUGAAACUGUAGAUAGUUUAUGUGAUAUGUUGAAACUGUAGAUAGUUUAUGUGAUAUGUUGCAUCGUGUUGUCAUAAUGAUGUUGAAAGUUAUCUUUACCAAGAGAUAAGUCCUGGGGAACUAUACAACCGAAAAUUAAUCCUAUAGGUCGUAUAGGCUUCCCAUGAGAAAUGCCAACGGUUACUGUUAUGUGGCUUCUAUUUUGGAUGGGAAAACUAGCUAGAGCUAAUAUUUUUCUUCGAAACAUAGAUCAAAAUGUACGCGGAUGUGGUAAGUUAUUUAGUUUUUCUGCCUGCAUCAAUUCCAAUAGUUUAAAGCUGGGACUUGAGAGUGGAACUCUACUGGCAUUGACACAUUGUAACAUCUUCUAGUUCAAAUGUGCUUCCGUGAUAUUGUCUAUAGUUUCUAUGCUGGAUUUUUCUUUUAUGUACAGAUUCUGACUGUGAAGAUGUUCAUGUGGUGGAUCUGAUCUAGGUGCUUGUUGCAGACUUUGGAACAAGCUCGUUGGUUCAAUUGCAAAAGGACGAUUUUGGAUUAUGCAUGAAACUUCAGUUAGUUCUACUUCUGCAUGAGUUUUGGGUAGGAAAAUACAAAGGAAAAUAAUUCCCAUCGAAAGAGUAUAAUGUCGAAAUCCUAACCACACGCUAAAGAGAGUUUCUGCGGUACUGAAAACAAGGGUGCAGUACUGAAUAUGUCUUCAAUAUUUUCAUAUGACUGAAAACAAGGGUGCAAUACAGGAACAUUGCCUUUAAUCAGAAAGUGGAAAGAAUACUACCUCUUCUUGAUGAUUCCGAACUUCAUUAAUUUAAUUAGGUAUGAGCUGUAGAUCGUAGCUUGGUAAAGGUCAUGCAACUACUCCACAUUGUAAUUUCAUAAUGUGCAUUCUCUAGUAAUUCAGGCAUGCGGAUUACACUAUGAGUUGACACUUCAGUCUUCUUGAGUACAUACUACCGUAGCAGGUAGUGUUGAUUCUUGUAGGGUUGUGGCUACGACAUACACAGAUUGCUCUUUUAUGUGUCAGGUUAAAAGCCUUUUAUAUUAUUAGUCUUUGCUUGGUGCUGAAUGUUGCUACAUUUUUCAUUGUUUUUUUGAAAGGAAAACACAGCUGGGGAGGCCCCUACUAUUAGAUUUUAUUAAAAAAAACUGAAAAAGAAGAGCAUAAGAACAGGAAUAAACAAAGACCCCACAGGCCAUAUGAAAGAGCUCACUUCAAGGGCAGGGGUGGAGACAUAACAGCCCACCCAAAAACAAGAGAGAGCUCAGAUUCUAGCUGUGAACUCUUCAAUCCAUUCUAAAAUUUUAGCCCUAGCAUCUUUGUUUAUUCUAUUUGGCUGAAAUUCCCCAAGCAACUAUGAUGAACACCUCCAUGAAGAAAGGCAUAUUAAAGCUUGUUUUGGCAUUGGUCAACAUACUGAAAAAUGGUCAUUGUGAAAUCCAUUGUAUUCCAAGACUUUCCCAACAAUCUUUAUUGAAGGCACACUCAAAGAAAUGAUGCUAGGUAGUUUCCUCCGGAUGCUCCAUACAAAGCACAUAGUUAUAGUUGUUACCUUGUGUUCAGUCUGUCCAUGAGGAGAAGCCAUGUGAAGACUCUGAGUUUGUUGCAACAUUUAGAUUGCCAGAUCCACAAGAAUGUUACGUAUUUGUAAGGUAGGUUAUAGCAUUUCUUUGAAGAAUAGGUGGUAGAUCCCCAUUGUAAUGACAUGAAUCCUUGCCAUCUUGCCUAGCAUGUAAUUCGGUGUUCUGUAGAAUCUCUUAUGACUGAAGUUAUUCAU